rnacentral:misc_RNA from 1 species
CUUAAAGAAUUUUCUAAAUUUAGCUUAGGCUAUAUGUAGUGGCAUUCUUUAACCGCUACCACCUUAUACGACCGUAUCAUAAUAAAAUUAGAAUUAUAACUGCCUUCGCACCUGCUUUUUAGCGUCCGUCUUCGCGCUGGGACGCCCACUUAGCAUUCUACUUGUCCUAUUUAGACCUUUAUAACUCACUUUUUUCUAACUUAAUAACGUCUUGCCAAAUAUACCGUCCACCAAUAUAAAUUAUCUACAUUGAAAUAUAUUGAACAUAGUUUAAAACAACAUAGAAAACGCGUUGAGGCGAUCUAUUUGUAAUAUUUGUAUAGAUGAAGAGAUAGAUAUGUUUAUACAUAUAGACACGGAACAUAUUUUUUUUGAUUAAGCCAGGUGCAACGGGAUUGAGCGAAGAAAAAGAGAAAGAAAGGCAAUAAAAUGAAAGUUGCGCGUGCUAUUUUAUUGAAUAGCGAGUUUAAUACAAAUUUGUUCUCUUUUCAAUUCGUCCAGCUUGACUUUGGGAUUUUGACGUCGGCUCUGCUGCCCUUCUUUUUUUAUCUACAGGCGCGAAAAUAUUCUCGCACUUUCUUCGUCUUUUAUAUUUAUUUAUAUAUUACAUAUUGCAUAGAAUAAAGCGAAAAUCUGUUUGUACCGACCGAACUACUAGAGUUGGCCGAAAAAGCGUGCAAAUGAAAAAAAAAAUUACCCACUCUCAUAAAUCAAGCGCUAGCAGAAAGAGAGGUGGAGAGGGGGGAAAAAAAACGUGUAAUUAAGUCAUUUUGUUGUGGUUACUUGUGGCCUCAUAAAGAGCAUCCCGACUAACGUUCAAAAGAGAAUAAAAACCCCGAUCGAACGCACAAUCGUACCGUAUUCAAUUGAGGCGCUAGGUAUUUUUACGAAAAGGAUAAAAAAGCCGUAUUGAUUAGCAGGUGUGAGGUCCCCAACUUGUAUUUAGGCCGAGAAAUAUCAGCUUCGUCAAAGCGUUGAAGAGUCUAAAGAGAGAGAGAGAGAGAAAGAGAGAGAGAGAAGGAGAAAAGAGAAACUCGGAAGACUUCAUAACGUUCGACGUCUCGGAGCGAGGAAUGUAAUAAAGCGGCGUCUAAAUGAGAAAAUCUUUCUCUUGAUUUUUUUUUCUACCCCUUACAACAUAUCGACUUUUGUGCUCCGUUUUUCUCUCCCCAGCCGGCCCUUUCUCUUAUCGAAUAUUAUGCAAUAACAUAUAAGCGGCUCGUGUUUAGGACGUUAACUUGGCACUAUAGGAGCUACUGAGUCUCCAACUGUUGAAGAGCUAAGAAGAAUGUUAAUUGAAGUUGCCUAGAGAAAAAGGUGUUGUAUAUGCGUAUUAAAAUUUAAAGCGUUUCUAUUUGUGCCUUCACAGAUAGAGUAUAUAAAUAACAACAGUAUCUAUAACAUGUCUAGAGUACAAAAAUACGUAACAAAUGUUUAAACUUCUAAUAAAGAUAGAGAGGUAAAGAGCCAUAGGUAAAAAAAAACAUACAUAUAUAUAAAAACUUAUAUAUAUAUAUUCUUAUAUAUCCUUUAUUGUGUAUGCUUUAUGUCUAAUAUAAGUGAACGCACGCGUAUAAUGGAUAAAGUAUUCAAUCUCUUUUCCCUCUUAUUCUUUCUUACUUUCUUCUGGAGUAACGCGUAACCCGAUUGCAUAACUUUGACGCUUGUUUAGAAUAUAGUGAAUAAGGUACUUGUGGUGAAGGCAGGUGCCGGAAUAAGACCCGCUUUUGCAAUUUGAAACCUACACCUAUAAAUAAACGUCGUUGCGUUGUGUUGAUUUAAUUACAAAUCGAGGGCGAGAUCGACUAAGUAUCGAAUAGCGUGAAAAGUGCUCCUCAUUGCUCUUUUCAACAUCAUUAUUCGCCCGAUAAACAUCGACUAGACGGUGAGACGGCCGCGAACUACUCGAAAAAGUAGAUCACGCGACGGUCUAGCUCGUCUCUCAUUGGCUAGCAGAUCACCAAUCAGCGUCGUUUUUUGUACAGACACUUUUCUAAAAUCUAUUAUAUAUAGUGAACUAUCAGUCCGGACGGUGAUAAAGGUUUGCUUUCUUAUCUUAAGGCAUGUCGACGUAGGAUAUGGAGCUGCGCUCAGGUAUUUUUCGGCAUUUUUCUACAAUUUACAACAGUUUAUGCCUUUUUAUUGUGCUUUAAGCGUUUGUACGCAGUUUAUUGUAUAGAUUUUUCUUUAUUAAUCCGCUGAAUGAUUGACGGUCUUUUUUUUCUAUAAACGAAUCCAGAUCCGAUGAAAGGCGAACCUACAUGCGUUGGCUGUAAAUUGCCAAUCGAGGAACGCUACCUUUUACAGUUGGGAGGUGAAUUGUGGCACGAAAAUUGUCUGCGAUGCUCGGUUUGCCGGGUAGCUCUGUCGAAUUCUUGCUUCGUCAGGGACGGUCGACUCUUCUGCAAAGUUGAUUAUUACAGGCGAGUAGAAUUGAAUUGAAAAACCGUCAACGUCUUGUUUGAACAUCGCGCAACCUUUGACGCUAUAAGCCAGACGUCAUAGAGUGUUGGACACACAACUCGAUGACUGACAAAUGAAGAAUAUGAGAAAAGCGAAUUUUUCUAUAUAGAAUAUUUUUAAAAAAAUAUGCGGCCCUCCCUCUUUACUUUUCGUGUUCGCAUGUCACACUCAGAAAGGAGGACCGUAAUAACAUUUGCUAAAAAUCAAACGUUUCAACCGACUGAACUCGUGAGAGGAUUUCCUCAUUCCAUAUCAAUAGGAAGGCUGGAUGUCUGCGUCUUUUCCUGAAUUAAUUUACUUUUACCAUGAAUAUUUAUGGCUGUUCUCGGGCUGUCAAUUAGCAAUCUGUGUAAACAGGGCGUCGAAAUUGUCAGGUCGAAAGAUGCACGUGCUAUUGACUGACGCUCAUAGAAGUUACGUAAGUGUUUCGAAACGAUACAGAGUCGUAUUUCUGCAAUAAUCCGUGCCCGCGAAUAGACGCCGGUCGCUGACGUCCGGUCGUCAAUUUUCCCUAAUCGACAAUAGAUGAGAUCGAAAGCGUUUGAUAAAAGAAAAGAGGCACGUGUUUAAUUAGAACAGCUGCGAAAACCGGACAAAGUUCUUGGACGGGGCCUCGUGCCUGACGCUUUCAAUAUGCGGCAGUCGAAUUUUCCGGCGUUUAGCGUCACAAUAGCUCACUAUCAAAAUGCACGCCCAUUCGUAUUUUUUUUUCCUGGUGGCUGUGUUACUAAGGGGACGAAAGUGAGGUCUUUCUCUAUUUUACUCAAUUUUUUCGCACGGAAAGUGUCGGGUAGCAACUCCCGUUGAGGUUGAGUACACUCGAAACUCCUCUCUCACUUCAAGAGUAGACCGUCUCGAACGAAAUUGAGAAAAAGAGGAAAGGAAAGCUAAAAAAUUAGGGGGAGUUAUUAAAAGAAAUAGCUUGAAGGCCUAUGAACGCUUGAUAAUCGGAUUGUUCCUCCUCGAACGAGCCCUCAGGGUUGAUACUUAAACUUUUACACAUUAUAGCUGUGUCAUUUCUCAAAAAGAAUUCAAAAUUUAUUUCCGUAGCGUUAUUCGUAAAGAUCGUUCCGGUUUCAGCGUCGAUUAAAAGCGUUUCAAUUGUACCAGGCGAAAAGCAAAUUCGUGUCAGAUUCCUACUCGAGUAGUUCGACAACAAAAAGGCGAAGCGCGCAGUUUGUUUGCAGUCGCUACUAGCAAAACGUAUAAUAGCAGCAAUAUUGCGGUACGUUGGCCGCUGGGAAAGAUGACUGGCAGGCAAAACUCCUUUUUCCUCACAACGAACACGUGAUCGAUUUUUUAUCCCCGCAUUCCGGGCGUUACAGACGCCGACGUCCAGCCGAAAGCGGAAUUUCUUUUCCUCUUUGUUACCGUCCCUACUGCAAAACACAUCAAAGACACUUUUAAAUCCUCUAUUCUUUAUUCCCAUUUCUUUCAUUAGAUUCUACGGGGCGAAAUGUUCCAACUGUAUGCAAGCUAUAUCGCCACAAGAAUUGGUUAUGAGGGCAGGUUCAGCCGUCUAUCAUGUUCAAUGUUUCGUCUGUUCGCUUUGCGGCUAUCAACUGCAAAGGGGCCACCAAUUCGUCGUCCGUCAUGGACAGCUGCUGUGCAGGAUGGAUUACGAAAAAGAGAUGGCCAGAUUACAAUAUGAGAUAGAUCCAUGGUGUACAAACUUUAGCCCAAAGUGCGAUAUGUAUGGAGCCGACGACGAUAGCAGUAUGGAAGAAAACGAUGCCGAUGCCAACAAAGGCCCGAAAAGACCCAGAACAAUUCUCACUACUUCUCAAAGAAGAAAGUUCAAGACGGCAUUCGAAGUAAACCCAAAGCCUUGUAGAAAGGUUCGAGAGGCUUUAGCAGCUGAGACUGGUCUCAGUGUUCGCGUCGUUCAGGUUUGGUUCCAAAAUCAGAGAGCUAAAGUAAAGAAAUUGGCAAGACGACAGGAGCAAGCCGAACAGGGAGUUACCUCCAAGAAAAGCAACAAUUCGAAUAAGAAAAAAGCGGUAGUAACGGCUGCUGUUUCGAAAGAAUUGAAUGGAGACGAAUCACCUAAAGCGUCCCCACCAAACGAAUCUCCUCCGCAACAUUGUAGAACAAACGGUAAAAACGAAAGAAAGAGACAAGAGGUUUUUGCAGGUUUAUAAAAACCGUGCAAAAAUCUUAUUCAUCAAAAGACAUCCGACUUAAUAUAAUCCGCCUUCAAAAAAACUUUUGCAGCACCGUCAUCCGAUGCCGACGUCACCCAAGAUAUUCACUACGCAAAUUUGACGCCCCGCUCUUCUAUUCAAGAAAGAGACGACCGAGUCAGCCUAUACGGAACGUCCAUUGUGUUGGAUGAUGUUCGAAAUUGUCAUAUGAUCAACAAUAAUCAGUUAAAGCAGGCAAAUCCAAUCGAUAAACUAUAUUCGAUGCAUAGUAGUUAUUUUCAACCGACAACUGCUGAAUAGGUCGUUGUUUUUUAUUCCGUGCUUGUUGUUGUUUUUUUUUUGUUUUUGUUGUGCAUGAUAUUUUUCUCCUCUCUUUCUGUCUCAAAACUUUUCCGUAGUGCAAUAAUUAUACAAAGAGAUAUUACAAAAAAAUACCAGGUUAAAGGGCAUUAAAAAAAAAAGAAAUUAUUUCUGUCCCUCUUGUAACUGAUUUAUUAAAAAGUCCGCAGUUCCCCCAGAGGAGGCGGUUGAAUUAACUUGAAUGAGACUAUUGUCGAAAUUUGAAAGUUUUACGACUGUGUACUUGUUCAUCCUCCGUCUGGGGAGGUAUAGCGCAUUCGAAACUGAUAAUAAGGUGCGAAAGAAAAGCGAGAAACUCGUGACACGUUGGCGCUGACCAUUGUGUGCACUGAUGACGCGUAUAAUGACGACUCGUCACAAGGAGACCACGCCCACUUGUCACUUCCGCCUUUCUGACGUGUAGAUGACGGACGAGAGGCGUCUAGGAUGGGACGCUUGUUGCCCGUGAUCGAGACGGAUAGACAGAAUAGUGGAAUGGAGAAAUAUACAAUCCAAUAAGAACCUAUCAAGAGCCGCCCCCUGGUGUGAGCCUGCCACAUUACGCAUACACCGCACAGCAAGACGUCAUGACAGUCGCUUGACCCGGUUUGCUUUUUACCCCUUGAAAAUAGCCA